rnacentral:pre_miRNA from 1 species
UGAGAUUUCGUCACAUACCAGACCACAAGGGCUGAUGAGACUCCCAAGAUAAGUGAAGUG